rnacentral:tRNA from 1 species
GCCUGGGUGGCUUAGUCAGUUAAGCGUCCGACUUCAACUCAGGUCAUGAUCUCACAGUCUGUGGGUUCGAGCCCCGCGUCGGGCU